rnacentral:tRNA from 2 species
GCGACCAUAGCUCAAUUGGAUAGAGCAACUCCCUUCUAAGGAGUAGGUUGACCGUUCAAGUCGGUCUGGUCGCA